AGGGCUCCAAAGAUUCAAUCAUGAGGGCAAAUUACUCAAACUUGCCUACCUUCUCCAAGAAUCAAAAAGGUUAAAGGAAGAAACAAGGGAUCAAUAGCAAAGGAGUAAUCUGAACAAGUCGUCAAUGCGAGAAUUCCAAAUGGUUGAAUGGAUUUGAAGGCAAUUAUUUAAUCUUUUACCUCCAUCAUUUCCAGAAAUAAGCUACACAUUGCAAUAAACCUUUGGAUCUUUU